rnacentral:misc_RNA from 1 species
GACUCCAACUUGAGUUUAAUGAAACCUCCACCUCCAAAAUUCCUUAGCAAGUCGAACUCGGAUAAAAUUGGUGCUGAACAUGAACAAAGUGCCAAUUCUCAAGAUGACUCCAGCUCUGUGUCCCGAAGUAACGACACCAAUGAAGACAAAAAGCAAGAACAACGAUCAGCUGCUUCGGUUCCGUACACGAUUCCGACCUGGAGUGGGCGUCCGUGUCAUCGGUUUUAUCUUGAAGUGCUUAAAGAUGGAUCGAUCAUUGAUAAAUUUGAUGUGUAUGUGUCUGCAAACUUAUGUUUGGUU